GUUUCCGUAGUGUAGUGGUUAUCACGUCUGCUUUACACGCAGAAGGUCCCCAGUUCAAGCCUGG
rnacentral:tRNA from 1 species